UAGAUCAACGGACUGACUACACAGACAGUCACACUACUAAUACUAUCACUAGGCCAUGGCAUGAGUGCGGAUGCAGAAAAUCGCUCGUAGAAUCUACUGGCGCAGACUUCUACUAGUAGUAGUAGUAGUAUCAGUAGUAUGGCGGUAGGACUAGGAGUAGAGCCAGAGGCUUGUCGUCGUGCUGUUUCCUGCCUUCGACCAGACUAUGUCAUCCUGAGUAUCUACACUGCAAGCGUUUCCUCGGCGAAGCAAGUUAAAAUUUAUUUGUGGCGAAGCAAGCUAGAAUUUAUUUGCACAAUCUUACUCUUUGCCUCUAAGUGACCAGAACAUAGUGAUCAGAACAGGCCAGCCGGUUAUUGAAGCGUGGCGCAUAGUCCAUAAAUAACGUAGUCAUGAAGGGAUGCCGCAGUUCGCUAUUUCUACCUUCAAAUGCUACAUCUGUUGAAGAGGAUAGGUUUCUAGCGGGUUCACGGAUUUAUUCAGACAUGGACUUGGAAGAAAGGUGACUAAGGAUUUCCGGACGAGACAGCAAGGACGGCCCAAGACUUGGUGUACGGUUGGCUCAUCUCAUAGUCUAACUGACAUACUUCGAUCAGUGCUUUCAAAGAGAACAUCUCCUCUCGCAGAUAGAGUCCUUCUAGACCAGAGACUUGACGUUCGGUUGGCUCAUCUCAUAGUCUAGCUGACAUAAUCAGUACUUUGAGAGAGAACAUCUCCUCUCGCAGAUAGAGUCCUCCUAAACCUGAGCUUGCCUGUGCAAAUCGUCUCGUCUACCAUUCCAAGUGAUGAACAUGGCUUCAUUGCGUAUUUUGCACCGUCUUUGCAAGUCACAAUUACACUUACCGUGGUGUGACAGAAUACUACGGUUGUACACAUCCAGUUGCAGCUCAAGCCAGAAAGCAGCCAGCAUUCUGCUGGCGUACGUGAGCAACGGUUGCUGUUGGAAUUGUCCAUUGCAGAGAACAGCUUUACUGACCUGCCAUAUAUCACGUGAUCCAGUCCAUGCAGCCGGUAGACCUGUAUUGAUGGAUGCAGCAGCUGUCCUGCAUUGUGACUAUAGACCUUUGAGGGUUUCAGGGAUAUGGAUUCUGCUCGUGCAAUAUUGCCUGUGAUCAUGGUGAUGGCCGCCUAGUAGCUAGCCCAGCAGAUUUAUCAGAACCAGCAGAUACAGCAGCUGAGCCAGCCAUAGCUAUCACUGCAACAGACUCGGCAGGAAGAGCAGUUGCCAUUGCAGCUAACACUGCAGCAGACACAGCGGCAAGAGCAGAUGCCAUGGCAGCAACCACUGCAACAGAUGCCAUGGCAGCAACAACAGUGGCCAUGGUAGCAGCAAACACCGCAUUUGCUGCACCAGGCAGUGACUGUAUUCGUUUGAAAACUAGUGGGCAGACUGCUCACAGCAGCAAUGCCAAAGAUGAGUCAGAGCGGCUCAGUCUUCAGCAGCAGUAAGCAGCAGUAAGCAGCAGUAAACAGCAUGCAGUGCACUUCGCAAAGUGAGCACCUCAGCAAGAAAGAUGUUGUUUUUCUUCCUUUUUUCCACACACCGAGCAGCAGUGGGAGUGUUGCAUCACUGUUUGCACAUGCCAAUGGACAGGUUCGAAGUAUGUGAGCCUAUGGUAUCCAUCAAAUCACUGAAAACGUUUUGACAUCUCUGCCUUUCUGUCAUACUUUGGCGAAAGCUUAAUUUUAGUUUCGACUCUCAGACCCAGAUUCCGUCUGUUGGAGUGCGCAUCCAAGAUGGGCUAUAGCUGAUAGCCAGUUAUUUGUACUUCGAAGUAGAACGUCAGUACCGUCGUUCAAUGUUAUCGCAUGAGCUGAGUGUCAGGUAACUGAUGGUAGUGCACAUUAUAACGUAACUCGUAGUUCCUUGGUCCUUUUCUUACUUUAAUUUAUUUCCAUAUUAUUGGACUCAAGAGUGCUAUGUUGCAGCUAGCCCAUCAUGACAGCGCUGACUUUUUGGGUCCAGUUUUCAUAUAGAUUCAUACACAUUUGGGUGUUUUUUCCUUCACAGCAUUUUGACACUUCGUUCGACCUGUGGACUACGGCGAAUUAUGAUUGCGAAAUUGUGGAAUUAUGCUUCCAUGGAUGCUCGCACAAUGCUCGCAAACUCUUUAUAAUAUAAACGAUUUUGCCAGCAUUAUUUAUUAUGCUUUGUAACUGAUCCUUUAGAAAGCUUUGGGAU